UGAGCCUUGAUGUGUAGGAUAGGUGGGAGGCUUUGAAGUGUGGACGCCAGUCUGCAUGGAGCCGACCUUGAAAUACCACCCUUUAAUGUUUGAUGUUCUAACGUUGACCCGUGAUCCGGGUUGCGGACAGUGUCUGGUGGGUAGUUUGACUGGGGCGGUCUCCUCCUAAAGAGUAACGGAGGAGCACGAAGGUUGGCUAAUCCUGGUCGGACAUCAGGAGGUUAGUGCAAUGGCAUAAGCCAGCUUGACUGCGAGCGUGACGGCGCGAGCAGGUGCGAAAGCAGGUCAUAGUGAUCCGGUGGUUCUGAAUGGAAGGGCCAUCGCUCAACGGAUAAAAGGUACUCCGGGGAUAACAGGCUGAUACCGCCCAAGAGUUCAUAUCGACGGCGGUGUUUGGCACCUCGAUGUCGGCUCAUCACAUCCUGGGGCUGAAGUAGGUCCCAAGGGUAUGGCUGUUCGCCAUUUAAAGUGGUACGCGAGCUGGGUUUAGAACGUCGUGAGACAGUUCGGUCCCUA
rnacentral:rRNA from 1 species